rnacentral:lncRNA from 1 species
GAAAAUGGGUGACAAGGGUUUCAAAACUCGACAUUCAUGUUGCUGCUUUUCUUUGUGCACAAUUUAUUUCAUGGGGUGUUGUCCAACUUGACUCUUUUUUGUUCACUCAAUUUUUCUUUCUUUGAGUAUCUCAUUAUGGCAUGAGUCUUUGACUUAGGAAUUGCUUUUAUCUCAUCUCCAUUUUUCAUUUCUUUUCUCUUUUUUUUCGGCAGAAGUAUAUGUUUCUACAAACUUUUUUUCUUUCUUUUGUUGCACUUGCCCUUUUUCAAUUUUUCUAAGGAUCACCACCCCAAACUUAUCUUUUUGCACGAAUUUGACACUGCAACAGUCAUGCCGAGCGAAGGUAAGAAGUGUUUGGCUUAUGGUUAACAUAAUGGUUUUCACAAACAAGGGGGUACAGGCUCAAUGGGGUUAACAAUGGAUAAAUACAACAUUACGGAUGGCUAGAAAGGCUAAAGGGUGAAAAUAAAUAAUGUGCCUCAGUGUGCGUCUUUGUAUUGUGUUGUAUCAAUAGAACUUACGUAAAAUCAGAGAGAUAAAGUCAUACUUGAAUGCACUCUUUUGUGUUUGGUUUUGUUGAAAUCUCACCAUGUUGGAUAAGCUUACAGGCUCCAAAUCACUCUUCAUGACAAAUGGCUUCUUUUUCAGCUUCGGUCUACCAUCCCCUAUUUCGGUCUAGAGUCGCCAAGUUGCAU